CCUACGGGGGGCAGCAGUGGGGAAUAUUGGGCAAUGGGGGAAACCCUGACCCAGCGACGCCGCGUGAGGGAAGAAGGUUUUCGGAUUGUAAACCUCUGUCCUUGGUGACGAUAAUGACGGUACCUGACUAAGAAGCCCCGGCUAACUACGUGCCAGCAGCCGCGGUAAUACGUAGGGGGCAAGCGUUAUCCGGAUUUACUGGGUGUAAAGGGAGCGUAGGUGGCAUGGUAAGCCAGAAGUGAAAACCCGGGGCUCAACCCCGCG
rnacentral:rRNA from 1 species